rnacentral:rRNA from 1 species
CGGAGGGGCGUAGCGUUGUUCGGAAUUACUGGGCGUAAAGCGCACGUAGGCGGCUCUGUAAGUUAGAGGUGAAAGCCCAGAGCUCAACUCUGGAACUGCCUUUAAGACUGCAUCGCUUGAAUUGUGGAGAGGUAAGUGGAAUUCCGAGUGUAGAGGUGAAAUUCGUAGAUAUUCGGAAGAACACCAGUGGCGAAGGCGACUUACUGGACACAUAUUGACGCUGAGGUGCGAAAGCGUGGGGGAGCAAACAGGAUU